AGAUCCAUUUUCUGCCACCGAAUACAUUAGCAUGGGAUAAUGGAAUAGGACCCUGUCCUCCUAUUUUCAGUUGGUUUUGGCAGCGCGAGGACUAGGGUAAUGAUUAAUAGGGAUAGUUGGGGGCAUUAAUAUUUAAUUGUCAGAGGUGAAAUUCUUGGAUUUAUGAAAGAUUAACUUCUGCGAAAGCAUCUGCCAAGGAUGUUUUCAUUAAUCAAGAACGAAAGUUAGGGGAUCGAAGACGAUCAGAUACCGUCGUAGUCUUAACCAUAAACGAUGCCGACCAGCGAUUAGGAGACGUUGAAUACAAAACACCACCAUCGGUGCGGUCGUCCUUGGCGCGUUGGUCUUCAAAAGCCAGCGCGCGGGGGCGGCUUAGCCCGGUGGCACCGGUGAAUGACUCCCCUAGCAGCUUGUGAGAA
rnacentral:rRNA from 1 species